UUACUUACCUGAACUGCGCAAAACUUCUUCAAGAUUCAUAAUUUUCGUGGAUUGUAUUUUAAUACCAACUGGUCAACAAUAGGCUAAUCCUUCUCUGUCCAUAAUCGGAAAUCAUAUUCCACGAUUUUGAUAUUCGGUUUAAUAUUACUAGCUAGCUAAAGCCCCCAGCCGUAAACACAUAAUUUUAUCCGAUUGGUAAAUCAAUUUCCUACUGAAAGGCUAAUUUUGAGUACUUAAUUUUAUUGAAUUGUGUGUUAAAUGAAGAUUAAGAAAAAAAGGUGAAAGCAUAAACAAUGGCGUUGUGAUAGAUGUCUGUUAAAGUGUGCGAGGUGUAAUCUAAGAGUUUCAAUCACCGACUUCAACCCCUUCUGGCCGAUUUCAGUGUGGGAUAUCCACUACGUGUCUUUCCGUUUUCCGGCACAUCUUUUUGCUCGAGAGAUGAAUACUCCCUGGUUUCACCAAUGGGAAAUUAUGGAAAUAUUGGCUUCACUUAACAAUAGACUGCUAAAUGUGUACGUCUUAAAAAACUGAAUGAAUGCUGAGCCAGUCUGCUAAUUAAUGAAUGACUCGCUUUUUAUCAGCUCAAGCUUGUGUUUGGGGGAAUUUCUUUUUUCAAAUGAUGGAAAUGCGGCAUCUUAAACACUCUGCAGCGUUAGAGUCUGUGUAGCUACUUAACAUAUUUUUUUUGGUGGUUUACAAACUCAAUUAGAAUCCGGAGAUACUCAUUCUGAUGAAGGCAUAUAUUAGCGUAGUAGUAGUAUUAAACCCAUAACCAGUUGUAGCACGAGGCCCGAUAAUAACAUGAACUGGCUUCCGAGUUGACUAUUCUGUACCUGCGGGUGGGCAUACCACUAGAGUAAUAUUAAUGUUUAAUUAAAGCCUUUAAAAUAUCUGUGUUUUAUUCAUGUAGAUUUUACAAACAUUGAAAAUUGGUGAGUGUAUAAACUGCGCACUGAUCGGAUAG